GGUAUAUCUCCACCGUAUACCACAGUUCAAACAGUGUAAUAACUCUCUUUAUUUAAUACUACAGUUUAUAACAGCAUAAGGACCGCAUAUUCAGAAAUGUUGGUGUUUUUCCACUGCAAGCUGUCGUUUCAAACCAGUAUGGGAAGAGGGAUAAAACAAUUACUGUGGUUGUCAUGGAAGCCUAUCUUGGACAAGUCUCUUUCAUGUUGGAGGAAGGAACAGAUGUUUUUGAAACUGGAUCGUCGAUUCGUUUUAUUGUAUCCUUGGAAACAACGUUACGCCAGACCACAGUUAUGCAAAUUGAUUUUGGGAAUGGUGACGUGAGAAACGUAUCGUUAAAGGAACAUGACGAGGAUCAAACCUCCAAUCAUCUUGACUCCCUGUCGUUGAUUACUAGUUAUGGGGAAGGAUGUAAUUUGACCGUCGAGUUUCAGUACACGUACCAGUACCAGGGUGUUUACAGAUCAUCAGUGAUAUUUAACGACAUGCCCGAAUCUCUCGUAGAUUUACGACAGCAGGUGACAAUUCUGGACAGAUUAGCUGGACCGAAGAUUCGUGCUCCUAAAACAACUGCUGUUAACAACAGCACAGAA